UACAGAGGUCUCAAGCGUUGUUCGGAUUCAUUGGGCGUAAAGGGUGUGUAGGUGGCGCCGUAAGUCGGGUGUGAAAUUUCGGAGCUUAACUCCGAAACUGCAUUCGAUACUGCGGUGCUUGAGGACUGGAGAGGAGACUGGAAUUCAUGGUGUAGCAGUGAAAUGCGUAGAGAUCAUGAGGAAGACCAGUGGCGAAGGCGGGUCUCUGGACAGUUCCUGACGCUGAGGCGCGAAAGCUAGGGGAGCAAACGGG
rnacentral:rRNA from 1 species